CAACUGCAGUGAAUGGUUUUCCUACUAAAGAGACAGAUAUAAUAGGUUAAAUAUACUUCUUAUUUAUCUUGAUUUUCUCUUCUGUGUUUCUACCUCUUUACAUUUUUCAAAACCCGGUCACAAGUCAAAUUUUUAAAUCAUGUAUAACAUAAGCUUUUUUUUUUUGCCUCAACAUAGCCACUGAAGAUGUAUUUGGUAAGGUCUGAUCAUG
rnacentral:lncRNA from 1 species